UACGAAGGGGGCUAGCGUUGUUCGGAAUUACUGGGCGUAAAGGGCGCGUAGGCGGACUGUUAUAGUCAGGGGUGAAAUCCCGGGGCUCAACCUCGGAAUUGCCUUUGAUACUGGCGGUCUUGAGGACGGGAGAGGGUCGUGGAAUUCCCAGUGUAGAGGUGAAAUUCGUAGAUAUUGGGAAGAACACCGGUGGCGAAGGAGGCGACCUGGACCGGAUUUGACGAUGAGGCGCGAAAGCGUGGGGAGCAAACAGG
rnacentral:rRNA from 1 species